UUACUGGGUGGCUUCGGCCUAAACCCCCAACCAUUGUGAACAAGACCAGUUGCUCAGCAGGCUGGUGGCGGUGAACAACUGCCCUGCCUGCGGCACAAAACUCUUCUAAUGUCAUCUCUGAGUUACUUUUAAAUAAGUCAAAACUUUCAACAACGGAUCUCUUGGUUCUGGCAUCGAUGAAGAACGCAGCGAAAUGCGAUAAGUAAUGUGAAUUGCAGAAUUCAGUGAAUCAUCGAAUCUUUGAACGCACAUUGCGCCCGCUAGUAUUCUGGCGGGCAUGCCUGUUCGAGCGUCAUUUCAACCAUUAAGCCCUAGGGCCUGUGUUGGGGCGCUGCGGCUGCCGCAGCCCCCUAAAAACAGUGGCGGACUCGCUGUCAUUCCGAGCGCAGUAGCACAUCUCGCUCAGGGCGUGGCGGCGGGCUCCGGCCGUAAAACACCUACAAACUAAGGUUGACCUCGGAUCAGGUAGGAAUACCCGCUGAACUUAAGCAUAUCAAUAAGCGGAGGAAAAGAAACCAACAGGGAUUGCCCUAGUAACGGCGAGUGAAGCGGCAACAGCUCAAAUUUGAAAUCUGGCCUCGGCCCGAGUUGUAAUUUGCAGAGGAAGCUUCUGGCGCGGCGCUGUCCGAGUCCCCUGGAACGGGGCGCCAUAGAGGGUGAGAGCCCCGUAUGGAUGGAUGCCUAGCCUGUGUGAAGCUCCUUCGACGAGUCGAGUAGUUUGGGAAUGCUGCUCAAAAUGGGAGGUAAAUUCCUUCUAA
rnacentral:rRNA from 1 species